CAUAGAUACUAUGUCAGUAGAUACUACACUAUUGUGGAAGUUUUCUUUUUUUAGAGUAAUAAUUAGUGAAGGUCAGAAAGGACAUUCCAAGCUUAAUGAAUGGCAUGUUAUAAAAAGCAGAGGUGUGAAAAAAGUCACAUUUCAGGAACUAUAGAGAAUGAGGAAAUCAAUCCUGAAUUCUGUGAUUGAAUAGCUCAAACUUCUUUAAAUUGUAUCCAUACUAGAAAUAGAUGAUGGUUAUUUGUGCCACUAGAUGGUAGUGUUUUCAAAUAAUCAGUGGUUAAUUAGCUUACAAUAUUUAAAAAGAAAUCUAAUUGAAAUGAAUUUGACAUACAACAAUUUGUAUAAAUUUGUAUUAUGUUCUACUCUCUGAGCAAGUUCCAUUACAAUACAAUAUUAUCUGUGUUAAAGGUAUUGUGCAUUAAAUCUAUAGGGCUUAUAUAUCACUCAUUGUAAGUUUGCACCCUCAAACAACAUCUGUCUUCCCCCUUUCACCCCCAUUUCCUGCUAAUCAUCAUUUCCAUUCUUAUGUUUCUCUUUCAAAUUCCUCAUAUUAGUGAGAUCAUAUAGUACCUGUCUUUCUCUGACUUACCGACUUAGCAUAAUGUCCUCAAGGUCCAUCCAUAUAUUCUUAGCCUAAUUAGAAGUCCUUUGCUAUUUCAAGUUGUAAUUAAAUACUUGUUUUCAGUAGUGAUUGUGCCAGAUUCAUUUAUAAUGUUUCAAGUUUGCUGUUUUUCUGAAUUAUAUUUGGAAUUUGCUUAAGAUAGUAGAAGUUGUUUCUCUGACACACUACUGAUUGCUGUGCAUUCAUUAGAUGAUUUUGGAGUCAUACUGUAAGUACAUUUAUUUCGUGUGGCAGCCUUAAAAACACAUUGUGUGGUUGAAUUUUGGUCGAAGUAAUUUUUGCUGUGCAGUUAAUGGCAAGGCCCUUAUUCCUUUGGCUUUCUUCCUCUGUCUUUAGAAUAACUCACAGUCUCAUGGAUUACCUUUACGCUGAUACUAUUCCUUCAGCUAAUACCAACCUGUUUUGAUGCAUUACCAGUUUGUUUUUCAGGGAGUGAAGGAGCUAGGUUUAGAAUAAGAAAUGUAUAAAUGUUUUCUGGUAACAAAACAGUAUAAGCAGAGGGGUUAACACAGUUGGAACAAAAGAGAAUAAUUUCCACAGGUGUACCUUUGGAUGACAUUUGCUCUGAUUUCCAGUAAUAUUUUCAAUUAACAUGACGACAGUUUUUUUCACCUUGAGGCUAACCAGUGGCAGUAAGGAGCACCAUAGUAUUGAUGAGGAAACCUGGGGCUCUGGAGGUGAACCGACAGAUCUGGGUUUGGAUGUAGUAGCUGUGUGGCCUUCAGCGAGUAAUACUUUCUUAGCCUGUUUCUUCAUGUAAAAGAGAGGAAAAAUGAUACCCUUCAAGCAAGCUUGUUGAGAGGAUGAAAUGAUAUUGUUAUUAGGCUAAGUUAUAUGGAUGGCUUUUUGGGGAGAUUGAAGUCUGACUCUAUCUAAACAAAUAACGCAGAUUACUGUGCAUUUUACAAGUCCUUUUAGCUGCACUUAACUGCUUUGAUUGUCCUUACCAAACAUUUUAUCAUCUGUAGUAGUCUUUAGGCCUGCUAUAUGCCUACCGCUCUGUUUCACAAUAAUCUCCUAGUUUUAGGCUUUUAUAGUAUGUCCAGAAAUCACAUUAUAAAAUUUGUCACAAAGUGAACCUAAAAUAAGCAUAAAAGGAUGUGCAGGAUCUGGAGGAGAGAUUAGUUGUGAUUAAAGUAUGUGGUAUAACAGUUCUUUGGGGGCAGAGGGGUGCUGCUUGAAGCCUUUUAUUUUACUUUUUAACUUUUCUCAGAUUAAAA